rnacentral:rRNA from 1 species
UUUUUUAAUUAAAUAAAGAUAAAACCAAAAAAGGGGGUUGAGGGGGUUUUUUGGGGUUUUUUUCCUCAGCUCAGGACGAACGCUGGCGGCGUGCCUAAUACAUGCAAGUCGAGCGGACAGAUGGGAGCUUGCUCCCUGAUGUUAGCGGCGGACGGGUGAGUAACACGUGGGUAACCUGCCUGUAAGACUGGGAUAACUCCGGGAAACCGGGGCUAAUACCGGAUGGUUGUUUGAACCGCAUGGUUCAAACAUAAAAGGUGGCUUCGGCUACCACUUACAGAUGGACCCGCGGCGCAUUAGCUAGUUGGUGAGGUAACGGCUCACCAAGGCAACGAUGCGUAGCCGACCUGAGAGGGUGAUCGGCCACACUGGGACUGAGACACGGCCCAGACUCCUACGGGAGGCAGCAGUAGGGAAUCUUCCGCAAUGGACGAAAGUCUGACGGAGCAACGCCGCGUGAGUGAUGAAGGUUUUCGGAUCGUAAAGCUCUGUUGUUAGGGAAGAACAAGUACCGUUCGAAUAGGGCGGUACCUUGACGGUACCUAACCAGAAAGCCACGGCUAACUACGUGCCAGCAGCCGCGGUAAUACGUAGGUGGCAAGCGUUGUCCGGAAUUAUUGGGCGUAAAGGGCUCGCAGGCGGUUUCUUAAGUCUGAUGUGAAAGCCCCCGGCUCAACCGGGGAGGGUCAUUGGAAACUGGGGAACUUGAGUGCAGAAGAGGAGAGUGGAAUUCCACGUGUAGCGGUGAAAUGCGUAGAGAUGUGGAGGAACACCAGUGGCGAAGGCGACUCUCUGGUCUGUAACUGACGCUGAGGAGCGAAAGCGUGGGGAGCGAACAGGAUUAGAUACCCUGGUAGUCCACGCCGUAAACGAUGAGUGCUAAGUGUUAGGGGGUUUCCGCCCCUUAGUGCUGCAGCUAACGCAUUAAGCACUCCGCAUGGAGACGCCCCGU